rnacentral:rRNA from 1 species
UACGGCGAGUGAACCGGGAAGAGCUCAAAUUUGAAAUCUGGCUGUCUUCGAUAGUCCGAGUUGUAAUCUAUAGAAGCGUUUUCCGUGCUGAACUGUGUCUAAGUCCUCUGGAACGAGGUAUCAAAGAGGGUGACAAUCCCGUACUUGACACAAUCAUCAGUGCUCUGUGAUACGUUCUCUACGAGUCGAGUUGUUUGGGAAUGCAGCUCAAAAUGGGUGGUAAAUUCCAUCUAAAGCUAAAUAUUGGCGAGAGACCGAUAGCGAACAAGUACCGUGAGGGAAAGAUGAAAAGCACUUUGGAAAGAGAGUUAAACAGUACGUGAAAUUGUUAAAAGGGAAACGAUUGAAGUCAGUCGUGUUUAUUGGAUUCAGCCGGUCUUCGGUGUACUUCCUUUAAACGGGUCAACAUCAGUUUUGUUCGGUGGAUAAAGGCAGUAGGAAUGUGGCUCCCUCGGGAGUGUUAUAGCCUAUUGUCACAUACACUGGAGGAGACUGAGGACUGCAGCUCGCCUUUUUGGCCGGGGUUCGCCCACGUUCGAGCUUAGGAUGUUGACAUAAUGGCUUUAAACGACCCGUCUUGAAMMACGGAACCAA